UUCCUCUGCACCAGCCAAGUCAUCCCGGGCAUUUCAAUGAGCCCGGGGCUGCCCGGUCUAAGAGAUCCAGGACGCUAGUGAUCCAGCCCACCCUGCCUGGAGCUUAGGCCCCCAGGCUGACUGAGAGGAUGAGGAAACUGAGGCCCCGAGUGCGUCUUCCUCAAGGCCACAUGGUGAAUGGUGAGUGGCGGAUCCUGCACAUCUCUGCUGACCCCCGUGGGUGCAGGAGAGGGUCAGACCCACCCUUUCAAUUGUACCACCCUGUUCAGGUUGAGAAGAGCUUUCAGUUCAGGUAGGUCUUGAGUUAUAUGCUUUAGUUGGGGCUGGGAUUUGAGGGUUCGGCAGAAGCUGAGUCCAACUCCGGUCCCCAUCCAGUGGGCAGUGUCAAUAAGAGGGUCUCUAAGGCCUGGCAGGGCCUGAGACACUAACGAAGGAGCAGGAGGCUCAGGAGGCUGGUAUCAUCCCUUCCUCCCUUAGGAACAGUCCUCACCAGCCUGGAAAACAGACCAGCCUCUGUCACUCCAUGGAGAUAACUGGCUCUCAUCUUGCUUGUACCUGGCUUCAGGGAUCUUGGGGAGAGACAGGAGGUUAAAAAAGGGACAUAUCAAAACUCCCUCCUCUUGGAGCCUGCCCAGCUUCCAUCACCCUUCUGCCUCGGCCUGCACGCUGAGCAGAUUAGAAACGCCCCAUCAGGGAGCACUGCCUGGGCCUAUGGCCUAGUGAGCUGGGGGGCGCUCAUGUCACAGGUGAAGCGAGCCUCAGUCUGGCGGGCGGGGCCAGGUGGGCAGAGACUGCUGUUCCUGGGCAGGUAAGGAGGGAUGUCUGCGGUGGGAUGGUGUGGGACAGGCUUUUCCAGGAACUGGCCUCUGUCCAGCACAGUGCCCCGGUAAAUAUUUACUGAAUUAAUGCUGUUGCUGGAGGGACAGGAAACACGGGAGAAUCAAGGAACUGCAGUUCCCAGUAGGGCCAUGGCUUGAAGAAAGGGGAAAUGGAAGACCUCCACCUCUCCCCUCAUCCUCAACAGCUCCACCCAGAAAGGGAGUGCAAACAAGGGCCCCAAGAACUGAGUCUGGUUGUUUAUUGAAUGCAAACUCAUUCAUAGAAAACGGAAAUGCAACCAUAGCAUGGAGACGCUCUGAGAAAAGAUCCAGACCCACCUCAUCUCCCAGCCCUUCAAGCAGAGCUAUAAAAACAAGUUUGGGAGAAAAACCCAUUCCCAUCCCCCAGGCAGAGGCCCCGCCUGAGCUCCCCCAUCCUCGGCAUCUGGAGCGGACCAGGUGGCACGAAGGGGAUUCAAGAACCAGGGUGGCCAGGGCGCCCAGAGCUGGGGCAACUCUUUGUAAACUCCAAGGUUUCAUAGGUAUGUGUGUGCGUGACUAACACAGAACUUGGCUGAAGACUGGACGGAAACUCAGAAGCCAGCCCUGGGUCCUAGAGCGAGGCUAGGACUGGGCACGUAGAGGGAAACAGCACAUCCCUUCCUGAAGCCCCUUUCUAAGUAUCCAGGUCGUCAUCCAGUGUCAGCAACACCUGGGGGGUGGACGCCAGAUCAGCCACAGAGAAGGAGGCAGCUGUUACCUUCACGUACCCACCUGGCUCGGCUGGGCGGCCCGCUUACCAGGAAGGACCCG